rnacentral:rRNA from 1 species
GAUGAACGCUAGCGACAGGCCUAACACAUGCAAGUCGAGGGGCAGCACAUGAGUAGCAAUACGAUGGUGGCGACCGGCGCACGGGUGAGUAACACGUAUGCAACCUGCCUUCUACUAUGGGAUAACCCGUUGAAAGACGGACUAAUACCGUAUAAUACAGGGUCUCCGCAUGGAGAUAUUUGUUAAAGAUUUAUUGGUAGAAGAUGGGCAUGCGUAUGAUUAGAUAGUUGGUGAGGGCACGGCUCACCAAGUCAACGAUCAUUAGGGGUUCUGAGAGGCAGGUCCCCCACACUGGUACUGUGACACGGACCAGACUCCUACGGGAGGCAGCAGUGAGGAAUAUUGGUCAAUGGACGAGAGUCUGACCCAGCCAAGUCGCGUGAAGGAAGACGGUUCUAUGAAUUGUAAACUUCUUUUGUGCAGGAAUAAAGUGGGUUACGUGUAACCUUUUGUAUGUACUGUACGAAUAAGGAUCGGCUAACUCCGUGCCAGCCGCCGCCGUAA